AUGCUCGCUUCGGUAGCACAGAUACUAAAAUGAGAAUGAUACAGAGAUUAUUAUGACCCCUGCACAAGGAUGACACGCAAAUUUGUGAAGAUACAUUCAGGAUC